ensembl:lncRNA
CCUCAGGUCAUCAGGCAUCAGAUCCCGGAGGGUGGGGACCCCUGCCUUCAAGUACAGGGAGAGGAUUUCUCUAAAGAUUUCCCCCAAAGUUAUGAAGUCCUGGGCUUGCCUGAUCCUUAAACUUCAUUUAUACAGAUGGGUGACCUUGGACAAUAAUGACUAUCACGACACACAUCUUACUGGGUUAUUCUGGAUCACACGAGAACCUCCUCAUGCAACAGGAUGUGAAAAUGGAAGCUUCUAUUCAGUCCUCAAGCCACGAUACAUGUCAUAUUCCGACACCAAAUCAUCACACAGACAGUUUACAAAGAAAAUGUCCCUAAACUGAUUCAAGAUCUCUUGAACUUCUCACCAGCUUUAAGAUAAUAAAAAGAAUCAAGAGGUGGAGAGGACCGAGAAUAU